UCGUGCGCGGCGACACCUGCAGUAUGCAGAGUCGUUCCGAGAAUUCUCCGAGUGCGAGUGGAGUUUGAGUGGAGGAAUUUUCAUUGCACAGUCGAGAACGGAGUAAAAACGAAGUAAUAUCCGAAUGAAACCGAGUAAAAACGAAGGAAUGUUGGAGUGUACGCGCAACCACACUCCGAGGGCACUCCGAGGGCCCUCGGAGUGAAAUAUGGAAAAAAAUUCAAGAUGGCUGCGUUAUUAGAACCAAUUGUUGUGGAAUUUCUUGAUUUAAUUGAUGAAGUAUUUCCAGAAAAUGAAGAAAGAAACGUUGCCAGGGAUCCACGUCGGUAUUUGAGGGAUUUUGAAAAUUCACGAGAGUGGUUUAGUGACGUGCAGUUCAAACGACGAUAUCGUUUUACCAAGGAUGUUGUUCGGCAUCACAUUCUGCCUUUGCUAGUGUUUGAAGAACCACGGAGUCGUCGAGGAUUAUUGCUACCGCCUUUCCUGCAGCUGCUAAUUGCCUUGCGAUUUUACGCAACAGGCAGUUUCCAGAUGGUGACAGACGGUAGCGAGUCCACAGUUUCCCGAAUGAUCAGACGUAUCUCUGUCGGUUUAGCGCAACAUGCACGACAUCUGAUACGGUUUCCCACUGGCGAUGAAUUUCGAUUGAACAAGCUACGAUUUUAACACUUUCCCGGUGUUACAGGAGUGACUGCACCCACAUUAAAAUCAAGACCCCCGGCGGUGCUCGGGGAGAAGUAUACAGCUUAUUCGAAGAUGGGCGUGUGCAGGGACUGCUGCUGGGAGACCCACAGUUGCCAUACCUGUUCACGUACAGAUGCAGAGCAGAGGCCAACAAUGAUGUGCCAAUCCCACCAGUUCCUCUUCGACCUGGGCGCGCCUGGCCAUCAGGAACGAGUUCAUCAUCCGGCAUUUCAAUUAGCUGUUUUGAAAUGAUUUUUACACACAUUGUUUCAUGUGGGUUUUUGAAUUCAGUGACCAUGAUCGUACCGUUUAAUAUUAGGUUUGUUUGGCUGGAAUGAAUAUUUUAUGAUUUUUGCACUCAUUGUUAUGGCUACUUAUGAAUAAUUCAAUGAUAUAUCUUCAUUUGUUGCUAAGCCAUUCCAUUGCAUUUCCUUUAAUCCUUCACAUACCUACAGGCCCUGGCAUUUUGUUUCCAACUUGUAAACAAAUUUCAAUUAAAUUAAGAAAUUUUACAUGAACUUUCUAAUAAUGCAACCUUUUACAAAUGUCUGAGUAAAGAAGUACAUUUGUUUAUAUUUUUGCUUUUUGAUUCUUUUGUAUUUUAACUUGAUGAAAUAGGUAAUGUUUUGUUAAAAGUAUUAUUGUGCAAACAUAUUUAUGUUGUCUCAAGUUUAAUUUUGUUCACUUACCUAUGAUAUAGGAUUGUAUUGCAGGAUAUUAUUUCAUUUUACUUUUGUUUAGUUAAAAUGGUUUAUAUAUUAAGAAAGAAAAGUAAUAUAAAAUAUAUUUGUUUAGUAACAUUUAGAUAUACAGGUGUGGUGAAAAUAGGUAGGAAACUGUGAAUUCAACUAUUAUGCAAAAUACAUUGGGAAUCAGUUGGUAAAAACUGGUUUCAUGAUUGAAAUACUUUGAUGUGUUGGGUAAGAAAGUUUCCAAAUGGAACAUUGAAAAUUAGUUGAUUGUUUUGCAGUUCCUGUUGCUGCCGCCAGUCGUGGCUCCACUCAAGUGCUCGGUGCUGCCCCUCAGCGGCAACGUGCAGUUGCUGUGUGUGCAGAGCAGUGACAUCAUCCUCGGUGGGCAUGACCAGGAACAUUCAUACAUGCAGGAAUUACAUCAUAUUGAAGAUAAUUUAUUAUUUAAUGAUUUCGCAUGUUAUUUAGACAAACACAUUUCAGGGAAAUUGUGGGCAAACUUUGCCUAAGCUUGUAGUAAGCACUCAUGUGGUUUACCACUGAACUACCCUUGUUUGUUUAAAAAAAAUAACAAUAUUCUUCUACAAUGUUUUUUAUUUUUGACAAGAAGGGUAAAGUUAUGAAAAUACAAAAGUACAGCUACAAAUCUUUUAAAUGCAUUGCCAAAAGCAAAGAUUUUACAUUUUAAAAUUUUCCUUGUUACAGUUGUUUUAAUUGUUUAAUAAUCAUGCAUUAAUACAUAACAAGAUAAUAUCAAGAAAAUUGUUAUGGAACCUAUUGAACUAUAACAUUUUAAUGUAUAUAUAUAUAAUUGAUUGUGUAGUGUAUGUUCUUUCUUGUGGCAACAAUUUUUAAGUUGUUAAUUUUAUUCACGAUCUUAGUAUUUCAAUACUAUUAACACAAAUCACAACAUAGUACACAGUGUUAAAAGCCCUUCAUAAUUCUUGUACAUUUCUGUCUGAUGUUUCUCUGGAGACCUUUAGCCAUCUGUUUGAGAUCUGAUAUUGGCUGCUACUAUAUAUGUAUUUCAUGUAUUUAUAAUAUGGUUACACAAUACAAAAUACUUUAUGGUCAACUUUGCAUGUUAUUAUUUAUUUAAAUUGUUACUUUUAUUUAAAUGCUCUGCCACACACAUUAAUUUAUAUUGCAUGCCAUAUGUAAUUUCCAUCAGCUAAAACAUUUCAUGUACACAUACAUGUACAUUACAUACAUAUUUCACAUACCGCUACUUUAUGUUUAUUACUUUCAGUAUGCAUCUGAAAAUGUUCAAUUUCUGUGAGUUGAUGUUUUUGGAUUUUGAAUUACGGGAUGUGGUAUUAAUGUGUGUUUCGUACCCCUUUGAGUAAACCUGACAUGUUAUUGUAACUCUUUCUGGCUCAUACGUUUUGUGAUUCAGCACACCCUGUUUUAUAAUAAAUAAAUAAAUAUAUAUAUAUAUUUGUACAUAAAUAGUAAAUACUUUUGUCUCUUAUUAAGGGUCACUUCAAAGUCCUUUGAUUUUCAUAAGUGCUGUGGUCCAAGUGAAAAACAUUUAUGUAUAACAAAACUGUCCAAUUCAUUGUUCAUUUUGUUGACCGUUAAAUUCAAAAUGGCACAUUUUGCUGUCUAACUUUGAACCUAUUGAGUAAAUGCAAGUGAUGGUUUAAGUAAACACCAGGGCUACACAUUUUAGAUAUACACUAUGCUCAUAUUUUAUGUGUGGUAUCAGAGAAUUCUGUACAAUUGGGGUUAAUCACUGAAAUAACUAGGAACGAGAUUUCACUUUGAAAUUUGAUAACACUAAAAUAUCAGUAGAUACAUUUAACGAAAACAAAAUACAUAAAUGUACAAAUGGAUGGAAAAGUUAAUUAUGUUUCCCAAGUGAAGAUUGACUUAUUCGUCUCAAUUUUCUCUUUAUGGGUUUAAUAUUAUUGCAUGUAUUUAACAAUGCUCCAUUCACCAACUUUACGUAAAGUGAAACAUUAUUGCCACUGGGUAGGUAAGUUGAUGACUCAUGAGAGUGUGAUGAAAAAUAAUAUAUGAAAAAAAACUACGUCUGCUACGAAUAUGUUGCUGGGUUUUAAUUACCAUAGUUAAUACAAACAUGAAAUUCUUAAACAACAAUACAAUUGUCUGCUUUGUAUGAAAUAUAUUACUUAAUAAUAAUAUACCUAACAUUAUUUGGCAUGCAAUUGACUCUUGAAAAUCAUACACCCAAAUACAAAAUAAAGGUUUAGUGUGAAUUAGCAGCUGUAGUAGAGCAUCGAGGCUGAAGAGUAGGAGCAACAUCCUCACAAGAACUGUCUGAAGCUGGGUCUUCUGAAAUAUACAAAGAAUGCAAAUAUGUUUAGUGAGGAUGAGAAACAAAAUAUAAUCAUCUGCUUUGAGAUUAAUGUUUAACAAAUUUGCCUCUAAAUUAAGAUGUUUAUUGAGAUAUGCCAAUUAGUAUUCACCUUUAUGGUUUGGGUUUGAAGAUUCUAUCACAUAAAUGUUAUUUAUUAAAAAUUAUACAUCAGCCUAUAAUUUCUAAGUGCACGAAUGAGAUAGAAUUCAACUAAUGCAUAUAAAUGUUCAGUCUGAAUUGGGUGUAGUAUUAAUCAAAUACAUAUGAUUGAAACAUUCAUUAUAAAGUGUAAUUUUGUAACCAGACUUCAGAUUGAUGGUGUCAGUCAUUCCUAAUGUUGAUAACUACUACGUUAUGUACUAUCCCUCCUUUUCCCCAUUACUUGUACAAUAUUCUGUUUGUUAUCACUUACGAUAAGUGGCUUUUGCACAAUCAACCAACACAAACUAUUUUGCCAUCUACCCUUAGCAAUGUGUUAGUUCAUCGGGGAGCAUAAUGAUGAUAUGAUGAGUUAUUUUUGCACAAUUGUUACAAAAAUACAAUUAAUUGUAAUUAUUUUCUUCACAAUACUGGAAUUAGAAUACCUACUUUCAAUAGUCGUAAGCAAUCUUUAAUUUGUACGUUCAGUAAAACAAAUGAUCUAUUAUUCAGAAUCACUAAAAAUUACAAUAAAUAUGUGAGGUUCUUUCCUGUAUUAGAUAGCACAAUAAAAUUAAAAAAACACAACUAUACAUAACUUAAUUUUUUUUUGUGGUUAAUAAUUAUAUUGUUUCAAGUUAGUUUUUUUUUCCUGCAUUAUAAAUUUGUAAAGAAAUUAUUUACUAAUUGUUAAAUGUUGUGUGUAUUGUUUUUGUUUUGUUAUAAAAUAUGUGGCAUAUUAAUGUAUUUAUCCUGACCAUUUACUUUUAGGAAUGAAAAAUUGUGUUCUGCAGGACAAUCAAGCAUCAUUAGUACUCAAACCACCAUUUUCUAAUUUCUCAAAUGUUUUCAGUCAGUACACUGGACAUUUUGCUACUUUUGAAUGAAGUAUGAGAACAGACACAAUACAAUAUUCAAAUAGUUGCCUUGGGCAGAAGUCUGAGGGACUGGUGCAGUUGAAGUAGCAGGAGCUGGAUCAUGAGGCACAUCUUCCACAGCAGUCUCCUCUGGGACAGUGAUCUUUGCAGCAGCUGCCUCUUCCACCGCAACAGCAUCACUGUCCCAGAGAAAACCAAGAUUUUCCGUUAAGUGCACUGCUGCAUCAAGUGCAGGCUUGCUGAGGAUGAAAUGUCCACUCCCUGUUCCCAUUUUGUACCGGGAUUCUGCAGCCAGCUCCUUCCUCCUCAUCUUCAUAUUUUUAGUGCAACGAAGUGCGCUAUAAAAGAAUAAGCAUAAAUUCCUAAAAUAGUGACUAAAGUUAAAUAUGCACUAGAUAUUUUAGUGUGUCCAACUUUCUUAAUACUUAAUUGUUAAAAGUUAAAGCUGAAAUAAUAACAAAUAAAUAAAAGUUUAUUGAGUAAAUGUUCAGUGUAAUAUCAAAGUUUAUUCUUUCAUCCAGAUGGAAUGAUCUUGUACCGUAUAUAUUGUAUCUGUGGUACAUUAUGCUUGUUUUAAUUUAGUACACUGAAGGAACCUGGACAAAACAAACUUGUAGCAUUAUGAUGAUAAUAGUAAAAUGCACAUCAAGGAAAUUAUUCCCACAAGACCCCGAGAUUGUUUGUGUGUGGCACCCAGGUUUUUGUUAUCUUCAGGCUCUUUCAACACACUCAAGCAUCGUGUAACACAUGAUCAUGCCAUCAAGAUCAAGGAGUAAACUUGGAUAUGUGAUAUGGAAUAAUUACCCCGACACAUGUUUAAUUCAAUUCAGUUGUGUACUAGCAAAAUAAUUGGUCACAGCUUGGGUUCAUACAUAAUGAUUGGUAAAAUGAUGAAUUAUCUAACGAUUUUUAUAAUUUCAACUGGCAUACAUGUAGGAGUGUACGUUUUAACGCCAGUAGCAAGUAGCAUACACAUGUUGUUUGAAAAAAAGCAGUAUUAAUUUAUAAACAUACCUUUCUGUAGUGUGAAGUUAGGCCAUUAGACAAAAAUUAUUUCAGAUAGGUACUUUAGUUCUAACCAACGAUAAAACUAUUGAUUAAAAUUGCGUACAAACCUGGCGAUAUUUUAUCAUGCAUCCUUAUUGAACCUAAACUUUACCUUUAGCACGAAUUCUUGCGCAUUGAAUUCCGUCGCAACUUGCUCCCAGGCUUUCUUUUUUGCUGUCACUGAUGUGACAUCGCUUCGCUUGUUUUCAAGGCAUUUAUGAUUAUGUACUAGCUUGCACAAUAUAUCCUUUUCUUCAGUACUAAACUUUCUCAUACCCAUCGGGUCCAUUUUUCAAAAUUCAAAGAGUGAAGCGGGAAAACUCUAUCGAUGUUUCGGAUGAAAUCACCAACAUAAAAAAGACAAAAAUUACAUUUACAAGGCGGUGAACAUCGAGAGAAAUAUUUUUCCCCGUGGGCGUGUGGUAACAGUUCCACUCGGCUUCGAGGAACCUCCAUUUGACGACUGCAACGCACGGAGAAAUCUCGAGUAAUAUCAUUCAAUUCUAUCUCGAACUCCACUCACACUCCACUCGCACUCGGAGAAUUCUCGGAGUUUUGAGGCGGGACUCUGCAAGCCGCCCUUAGGCUGUCCAAAAAGUUCAAACAAAGUAUUUUCCGAAUGUUAUUACUUUAUUUAUGGAAAUGUUGCGGCGCGAGAAAAUUACAAAAAAAAAAAAAAUUCUCAAGCGCCUCAAAAUUCCCAAAAUUAUUCAGUUUGCUGAAAAUCAGCUAUUCCAGGUGUUGAUAGCCACCUUAGCUAACCAACUAAAAAGGUGCACGAUUUUAUGAUAGUUUUAAUGUAACUAAUGGAAGCAACCAUUCUCAUGUAAACAGUGAAAGAUUUAAUUUGUUAUUUCUAUCUUCAGAAACCUCUGUCCAAACGAUUCUGAUAUGCUAUAUUUUAAUCAAAUGUGUGCUAUUUAAGGUGAGGUACGUCUCUAUAGGGUUCGCAAUUCGAGUCACCUUAAAAAAAGUCUUGAACUUGGCGAUUUCGAAACAUUGUCAGUGAAUUUUGGUAAUUCGACAGGGCUGUACAUGGAGCAGAAACCUCUGUCAAAACGAAUCUGAUAUGCUAUAUUUUACUCAAAUGUGUGCUUUUUAAGGUGAGGUACGUCUCUAUAGGGUACGCAAUUCGAGUCACCUUAAAAAACGUCUUGAACCUGGCGAUUUCGAAACAUUGGUAGUGAAUUUUGCUAAUUUGACAGGGCUGUACAUGGAGCAGAAACCUCUGUCAAAACCAAUCUGAAAUUCUAUAUUUUACUCAAAUGUGUGCUAGUUAAGGUGAGGUACGUCUCUAUGGGGUACGCAAUUCCGGUCACCUUAAAAAACGUCUUGAACUUGGCGAUUUCGAAACAUUGGUAGAGAAUAUUGCUAAUUUUAUCUGACUGUAUAUGCAGCAGAAACCUCUGUCAAAACGAAUCUGAUAUGCUAUAUUUUACUCAAAUGUGUGUAUUUUAAGGUGAGUUACUUCUCUAUAGGGUACGUAAUUCGAGUCACCUUAAAUAACUUCUUGAACUUGCCGAUUUCGACAAUUUGGCAGUGAUAAUUGCUUGUACUAAACUGUUCUCUAUAUAGGGUGCAGUAAACUUUUUAAAACGUAUUUUAUAUACCCCGUUCCUCCGGUUUUACAAUUAUAUUAAAUUUUUUUAAGUGUUUUUAAUUAUUUAAUUUGUUUAUAAUAAUUUUUUUUUGAUAAAUACAUAAUUACCAUAUAAUUCCCUUAUGUCCUUCUUGCACUGAAGCACGGGAUCAUUUUCGUUCGGUUUUAUCGUGGUGUACUAUAAUUAUGGUACGCGUUGGAAAACGAAUCUGAGAUUCGAAUCUAACUUCACCUCAGUGCUGCAAUUGGGUAGAGAAGUGCUCGGUGGCAAGCACUCUACCAUGGGGCGGUAACACAAUAGGAGGGGAGUGAACAAUGUUGUUAGUCCUGUGCACACCAAGGAGCAUUACUGUAUAUUAGCUCCAUGGUGCACACUAGGGAUGGGAAAUAUAGUUCUUUGGAAAGAACUAGUUCGUUCUGAACUAGUCACUUCAAAGACUAGUUCUUUAGGAACCGUUCUAUUGAACUACAUCGGUCGCGGACUGUAUCGCGGUUUCCAAUUAGUGAUGGGCAGAACGGAUCUUUUGACCGAAUCGGUUCUUUUGGAUCAGUUCCGUGAGAUGAUUCGUUCAGAACGAUUCGUUCAUCUCGGUCAAUUCGUUCUUUUCUGUGUAUGGGAUCUGGCUCUUUUAUCAGGUGUCGUAACUUGUUCAUCCUUUAGAGUAUUACGUACGUGUUUUUGUAUUUGAAUUUGAACAUUGCUUUCCGUAGCCAGUGAAUCACAGUUGCGUAUAUGAAACAAGAUUAUUUAUAUUUUAUUACUUUUUAAGUUACAAAUAUUAAUAUAUAGGCUAUUUACACUCUAGUGACAGUAAAGUGUUUACAUGUAGACCAAUACAUUUAGAGAAAAAAGACAAAAAUUUAAUACUACUGCAAUUCAGUAUGAAGAGAAACAAAUGAAGUACAUUAAUUAACCCAAAAAUGGUAAGUGUGAACAUUUGUAGUUACUUUCCAUAUUUUUUAAUUCAUACGGUUUUUUUUUUUUUUUUUUUAGUUUUUUAUUUCCAAAUUUGUGUAUGUGAAUGUGAAAAAGCAAUUUUAAACCACUACUUAACAGUUGACAUUUUCAGGUAUAGAUACUUUUCAUGUUACCCUAUUUUAUUUGAUCAGUUAUCGUUUGCUCUUGUGAACAUGCGCACGCUGUGAUUGCUAAUUCUUCAGACUCCUGACGUCAUGAAUCAUUUUACGAACGAAUCAGACCGGGCGCGUGACCGGUUCUCUCAUCUCGUUCUCUCGUUCUCUCCGCGUUUUCGUUCUUCCGAAUCUUUCAAGGUACCGGCUCUCAAAGAGCCGGUUCUUUACAUCGCGAACGAAUCGCAAGAUUUCGUUCUCUCAAAGAUUCGUUCUUUUUGAACGAAUCGUUAACGAACGACCCAUCACUAUUUCCAAUGUUUAAACAAAAUAUUCCAUACAUGACACCAACACAAUCGUUACAGACAUUUUGUUUUAUGGGCAUUUCUUUUUCUAUAAAUAAAAGAGGCACACAGUAAUCCGAUGCUUGUAAACAAUAUCUCCCAUUACAAAUGAGCGACUAUCAUAUUGUUUUUCUUUCACACACUUCUUACAUUUUUGAAUGUGUAUUAAUUUAUUUUCUGCAAGUAAAGUACUUAUUUUCACAUGUGUACAAAACAAAAUAAUAGUAUAGUGUUUUCUCAUCUGUGACAACCUAAGCUGAUUUUUUUCGUAUUAGGUAAGUUUUAUUAUGUUUAUUUAAAUUUUAGUGUA